rnacentral:misc_RNA from 1 species
UCUGCGGACAUUUCAGUGUGAAACUCGGUCGAGUAAUUUUCGUAGUCGGCUUUAAGUGCGCAAAAAUUUUUAAGUAAAUUAUUCCAUAAUAAAGAAUUCCGCGUAUAUAUUAUUAUAGGAUUUAAAGAGAAAAUUCUAAACGCUUUCUCUGCGUUUUUUUGUGAAAGUGUGUUUUUUAUAAAAAAAGAACAAACAAAAUGUCAGACAGAAAGGCUGUUAUCAAAAAUGCGGAUAUGUCUGAAGAGAUGCAGCAAGAUGCUGUUGAUUGUGCGACUCAAGCUCUGGAAAAGUAUAACAUAGAAAAGGAUAUAGCAGCAUUUAUCAAGAAAGAAUUUGAUAAAAAAUAUAAUCCAACGUGGCACUGCAUCGUAGGACGUAAUUUUGGAAGUUAUGUAACGCAUGAGACAAGACAUUUUAUAUAUUUCUACCUGGGUCAGGUAGCCAUUCUUCUCUUUAAGAGUGGAUAAGCUAAUUUCUAUUCUCACAUCUUUCCUUUCUUCUUUUCUCCUUUUCCUUACUGAUGAUACUAUACAGAACACGAAAUUACCGUACCAUUUGUAAAAACCAACUGCAUUAUGAUGAAUACGAGAUUUGCUUUAAAAAUAGUAAAGCAUACUCCUAACAAACAAAGUAAGUACGUGAAGUCGAAGCUAGGAAUUCACUUGGAGACACCAUGCCGACUAUCCUACACGCACACUACACAAACCAACUAUACUGUGACGUAUAUGAAAGAGCGAACGUCACUAUGCUUCUGACAUGCUUCCACUUGUAAGCAACAAAAAGUUUCAGCUCUGCAUGUAAUCACGUCUCAAUAUACGUUUGUGAGUUAGAAAAUCACCCUGUUCCCAAGAUGCACACAAAAAAAAAAUAUAUAAGUAUUCAACGAAAAUUGUUAAUUUGCGUUAAAUACUAUAAUUGACAGCAUAAUAGAAUAAUUAUAUGGGACGAAUUGAUUUCUAUUCAUUUAAGUAGAACGUAUGAAAGAAAAAAGAAUAUAUAUAUAAAUAUAUCUAAUUAUUUAGAUAUAUAUAAUACAUAUGGUUAUGUAUGCGUGGUGUUAUAUAGUCUUGCGUGAAUCUAGUGGAUUCCUAUCUUUAAGUUCUAAUUAAACAUUCAAGAUCCUGUAUAAAUAUUUACACACAGAAUAGACUAUUUCUUAUUUUGGACGAAGCAAGGAACAUAUGUAUAAUUUCUAGUC